rnacentral:lncRNA from 1 species
GUUGAUGUGCUUUGAAAAAAAAAACGCUUUUGUUAUAAUCCUGUUAAUGGUUUACAAUAUUGGUUGAUAGAGAAUCAAAGUAGAUUUACCAAUGAAUCGUGAUUUCGAAAAGAAAAUCUAAAACAAAAAUAUAGAAAAUACGGUUAGCAGAAUGAAGCGUAAACGUAAACGACAAUCAACAGUUAAAUUUAAAUCUAUGAGUUAUGGGAUUAUGGUGGCUAAUUUCAAAGUUGACAUCUUCACAAAAGUAGUAGAGCUUUCAUUACGAGUGUUUGUAAAUUUUUAUUUUUUAUUUUUCACACCUUCUAUUAAUUAAAAAACUUUACUACAACAAUAGCCUCAUAAGUGAGAUUAAAUCCUUAUUGUUAGAUUCUUUAAUCUCACUUACGUUUUUAAUAUUACAUUUUCAUUUUGUUAUUUAUUGGUUUAAAAUAUUUUGUUUAACGGGUACCAGACUAGGUCAUAUUAGUCGUUAAUAUUAACGAGUCCGGUCAUAUUACAAGUUUUAUUUUAACGCAUGACCCGUUAGAUAUAAAGUAUGUCACGAAAACGACACGAAUACAUAAAAUAGGAUACGAAUGCCCUACACUUUGUUCAGGCAUAAAUUUUGACACGUCCCGACCCUGAUAUUCCCCGAAUACCAGGAUAAACACAUGCUGGCCGACACCCGAGGCUGACGAAAGCCAUUAAUUGAUACAAAAGCUAAGAAUAAGAAAUAAUUAAGGGUUAUGAAAUUUAAAAACAAUGAGUUAAUAAUUUAGGAACGUGUUCACAACAUACAACUAAACCUAAUCACUAAAAAGAAUUCAGAUAAAAUUGAAUGAAUAAAGAAGUGGGUCCUACAUCGAGAGGACUCAAAUAUGCUGCUGCGGAAGUGCCUUCACUCCGGGAUUAGGUGCCUUGAUUCUAAGUCCUGGCUACGGGCGCAGAGACAAUGAAGAGGCAUUGGGCCGGGAGUAUAUUUAUUCGGUGAUCUUACUAGCAGCACACCGCGUUUACGAGACGAUUUAUGAGACGUUUAUUGUUUUGAUUUCUGCAAUGAUAUUCCGCUAUAUGUGACUUUUGAGAUAUUUUGGCAUGCUAGGAUUUUUAUUAAAUCCAUCACUUAUUAUGCUAGUAGUUUUCAUUAUAUAAACUUUGGGGGUUAGUACAUUGAUAACUGUUUUAUUAUUAUUAUAUAUAAACUUGGUCCACUCACCUUUGUUUUGCGCCCCCAUCCAGGACUUAGAAUCAAGGCACCUAAUCCCGGCGUGAAGGCACUUCCGCAGCAGCAUAUUUGAGUCCUCUCGAUGUAAGACCCACUUCUUUAUUCAUUCAAUUUUAUCUCAAUUCUUUUUAGUGGUUAGGUUUAGUUGUAUGUUCUGAACACGUUCCUAAAUUAUUAACUCAUUGUUUUUAAAUUUCAUAACCCUUAAUUAUUUCUUAUUCUUAGCUUUUGUAUCAAUUAAUGGCUUUCGUCACCCUCGGGUGUCGGCCAGCACGUGUCUAUCCUGGUAUUCAGGGAAUAUCAGGGUCACGGGCCUUAUACUGAAGGGCCUUGGGCCGAAUUCUGUCAAAGGGCUUAAAGCCCUGCCCUUUUAAGGCCUGCGGGCCGUGCCUUGUGGGUGUGUAUGGGCUGUGUGUGUGUGUGUGAGUGAGUGUGUGUGUGUGUGUGUGUGUGUGAGUGUGGUUUUGGGCUUAAGCCCAAACCACCCAUUUUCACCCUAACCCUUUUUAUUCCUAGGCCUAUCCAAAACCCAAAAACCUUAGAAAACCCAAAACCCAAUAUAUCCUAAUCCUAUUUAACCUAAACCCUAAUCCGGAUUUCAAGCCUAAAACCCGUUAGACCUAAUUUGACCAUUGACCCCCGGUCAACGUUGACUUUAGGGUUGACCUUUCGGGUUUUCGUCCAGGACCCUUCUUAGGGUAAUUCGACGUUCUGAAUCCGUUUCCAAUAUCCACUUUCCCAAAUUCAACUGUUUAAGUAGAGUUUGACUAAAUGUGCUAUUUAUGUGCUUAGGGGCAAUUAUUGUGACGUUUCCGUCUUCACUAGUGGCACAGCUUUUGGCAACUAAGUACUGUGAGUGGACCCCUUCUAAAAUUACAUGAUUUGAUAAUUUAAUUUCAUAAAUGAUUAGCAUGCCUACGGAUUUAUAAUUUGAUUUAUGUGAAGCCUGUUGAUUAAAUAUAUUGAUUUUCGUCUCGUGUUUUGGUGAGGAAUUAAUUGUUAGCCUAUAUUGAGCUAUAUUUUAAUAUAUCGUAUUUUCUAUAAAAACCAUGAACUGGUAGACUAUCUAAUAGAUGACGAUAGGAUGCUAGAACAUGUUUUUGAACCCCUCUUUAUAGUGUAGACGAUGAUCGGUAAUCUAUGCUAUGAAGUGGUUAUUUAUGAGAUGCGUAAAUAUUUGUGCGUACCUAGUAGACACUAUGCCGCUUGGGGCGAGGAACUGGUGUUGGCAUUUAGGCCUGGAGAAAUAAUCCCUAGCUACGGGCUGAGGGACAUGGAGCAGGUAUUGGGUCGGGAGUUGGUAAUCUCUGGCUACGGGCGCAGAGACCACGGAGCAGGCAUUGGGCCGUGAGUUUAUUUAUUCAGUGAUCUUUCUAGCAGCACACCGCGUCUACGAGACGAUUUAUGAUGCGUUUACUGUUUUGAUUUCCGCGAUGAGUUUCCACGAUAUGGCUUUUGAGAUAUUUUUGGCAUGCUAGGAUUUUGUUAAAUCCAUCAUUUAUUAUGCUAGUAGUUUUUAUUAUAUAAACUUUGGGGGUUAGUAUGUUGAUAACUGUUUUAUUAUUAUUAUAUAUAUAAAUUUGGUCCACUCACCUUUGUUUUGCGCCCCCAUUCAGGACUUAGAAUCAAGGCACCUAAUCCCGGCGUGAA